rnacentral:lncRNA from 1 species
AUUCGGCCAUCCCAAAUGAUAAACCAAGAAUGUUACGAACAGCGACACACAAGACAACAACUCGAGUCUAGGUAAACCUCGUCUUCCUCCUUUGAUCUAAACAUUGUCUGAUGGAAUCUGAAACAUCUGAAUCCUAAGCUUAUCCUGGUCAAAUUUCUUCUCUCUUCUGGCAUGAUCUCAUCAAAGUCGUAGUCUUUCGAUGUUUUUUCCUUUCGAGGUAGACUAAAUCUGUUCUUUCUGGCUUUAAAGGGUUAACUGCAACUGCAGCAGAGACUAAAGGGUUUAUGAGAGCUCUAAGCUUCAGCAUCAAGUGAAUCUACCGGACCAGUACAUAAGAGGCCAUUUCAGAAGCUUGAAGUUUCUGGAUGUACAAACCACGAUCACCUCUGAGAAUUCUAUUCUACGACUCUAUCGUGGUUAAUUAGGGUUCAACCCAUUAACCACAC